GACGAACGCUGGCGGCGUGCCUAAUACAUGCAAGUAGAACGCUGAAGGAGGAGCUUGCUCUUCUGGAUGAGUUGCGAACGGGUGAGUAACGCGUAGGUAACCUGCCUGGUAGCGGGGGAUAACUAUUGGAAACGAUAGCUAAUACCGCAUAACAGUAGAUGUUGCAUGACAUUUACUUAAAAGGUGCAAUUGCAUCACUACCAGAUGGACCUGCGUUGUAUUAGCUAGUUGGUGGGGUAACGGCUCACCAAGGCGACGAUACAUAGCCGACCUGAGAAGGUGAUCGGCCACACUGGGACUGAGACACGGCCCAGACUCCUACGGGAGGCAGCAGUAGGGAAUCUUCGGCAAUGGACGGAAGUCUGACCGAGCAACGCCGCGGGAGUGAAGAAGGUUUUCGGAUCGUAAAGCUCUGUUGUAAGAGAAGAACGAGUGUGAGAGUGGAAAGUUCACACUGUGACGGUAGCUGAACAGAAAGGGACGGCUAACUACGUG
rnacentral:rRNA from 1 species